rnacentral:rRNA from 1 species
UCAGGUGGUUAUAGCGCUGAGGUCCCACCCCUUCCCAUUCCGAACAGGGUCGUUAAGCUCAGCAUCGCCGAUGGUACUGCAUUUGUGGGAGAGUAGGUAGCCGCCACUU